rnacentral:rRNA from 1 species
GAUGAACGCUGGCGGUGUGCUUAACACAUGCAAGUCGAACGAAGCACUUUAACCUGAUUCUUCGGAUGAAGGUUUUUGUGACUGAGUGGCGGACGGGUGAGUAACGCGUGGGUAACCUGCCUCAUACAGGGGGAUAACAGUUAGAAAUGACUGCUAAUACCGCAUAAGACCACAGAGCCGCAUGGCUCGGUGGGAAAAACUCCGGUGGUAUGAGAUGGACCCGCGUCUGAUUAGGUAGUUGGUGGGGUAACGGCCUACCAAGCCAACGAUCAGUAGCCGACCUGAGAGGGUGACCGGCCACAUUGGGACUGAGACACGGCCCAAACUCCUACGGGAGGCAGCAGUGGGGAAUAUUGCACAAUGGGGGAAACCCUGAUGCAGCGACGCCGCGUGAGCGAAGAAGUAUUUCGGUAUGUAAAGCUCUAUCAGCAGGGAAGAAAAUGACGGUACCUGACUAAGAAGCACCGGCUAAAUACGUG